rnacentral:rRNA from 1 species
UUUAUGGAGAGUUUGAUCCUGGCUCAGGAUGAACGCUGGCGGCGUGCCUAAUACAUGCAAGUCGAGCGAACAGAUAAGGAGCUUGCUCCUUUGACGUUAGCGGCGGACGGGUGAGUAACACGUGGGUAACCUACCUAUAAGACUGGGAUAACUUCGGGAAACCGGAGCUAAUACCGGAUAAUAUUUCGAACCGCAUGGUUCGAUAGUGAAAGAUGGUUUUGCUAUCACUUAUAGAUGGAUCCGCGCCGUAUUAGCUAGUUGGUAAGGUAACGGCUUACCAAGGCAACGAUACGUAGCCGGCCUGAGAGGGUGAUCGGCCACACUGGAACUGAGACACGGUCCAGACUCCUACGGGAGGCAGCAGUAGGGAAUCUUCCGCAAUGGGCGAAAGCCUGACGGAGCAACGCCGCGUGAGUGAUGAAGGUCUUCGGAUCGUAAAACUCUGUUAUUAGGGAAGAACAUACGUGUAAGUAACUAUGCACGUCUUGACGGUACCUAAUCAGAAAGCCACGGCUAACUACGUGCCAGCAGCCGCGGUAAUACGUAGGUGGCAAGCGUUAUCCGGAAUUAUUGGGCGUAAAGCGCGCGUAGGCGGUUUUUUAAGUCUGAUGUGAAAUCCCACGGCUCAACCGUGGAGGGUCAUUGGAAACUGGAAAACUUGAGUGCAGAAGAGGAAAGUGGAAUUCCAUGUGUAGCGGUGAAAUGCGCAGAGAUAUGGAGGAACACCAGUGGCGAAGGCGACUUUCUGGUCUGUAACUGACGCUGAUGUGCGAAAGCGUGGGGAUCAAACAGGAUUAGAUACCCUGGUAGUCCACGCCGUAAACGAUGAGUGCUAAGUGUUAGGGGGUUUCCGCCCCUUAGUGCUGCAGCUAACGCAUUAAGCACUCCGCCUGGGGAGUACGACCGCAAGGUUGAAACUCAAAGGAAUUGACGGGGACCCGCACAAGCGGUGGAGCAUGUGGUUUAAUUCGAAGCAACGCGAAGAACCUUACCAAAUCUUGACAUCCUUUGACCGCUCUAGAGAUAGAGUUUUCCCCUUCGGGGGACAAAGUGACAGGUGGUGCAUGGUUGUCGUCAGCUCGUGUCGUGAGAUGUUGGGUUAAGUCCCGCAACGAGCGCAACCCUUAAACUUAGUUGCCAGCAUUCAGUUGGGCACUCUAAGUUGACUGCCGGUGACAAACCGGAGGAAGGUGGGGAUGACGUCAAAUCAUCAUGCCCCUUAUGAUUUGGGCUACACACGUGCUACAAUGGACAAUACAAAGGGCAGCGAAACCGCGAGGUCAAGCAAAUCCCAUAAAGUUGUUCUCAGUUCGGAUUGUAGUCUGCAACUCGACUACAUGAAGCUGGAAUCGCUAGUAAUCGUAGAUCAGCAUGCUACGGUGAAUACGUUCCCGGGUCUUGUACACACCGCCCGUCACACCACGAGAGUUUGUAACACCCGAAGCCGGUGGAGUAACCAUUUUGGAGCUAGCCGUCGAAGGUGGGACAAAUGAUUGGGGUGAAGUCGUAACAAGGUAGCCGUAUCGGAAGGUGCGGCUGGAUCACCUCCUUUCU